rnacentral:misc_RNA from 1 species
GCAAACUUGGUCAUUUAGAGGAAGUAAAAGUCGUAACAAGGUCUCCGUAGGUGAACCUGCGGAGGGAUCAUUACUGAGUGAGGGCGUCUGGUCCGACCUCGAACCCUGUGAAUUUCCCUUGUUGUCUCGGGGGGCGACCCGGCUCUCUGGAGGGGUUCCCCGAUAGACCAUUAUCAAAAACUCUGCGUCUUCUGCGUCCGAUUAGAUGAGAAAUGAAUCAAAACUUUCAACAACGGAUCUCUUGGUUCUGGCAUCGAUGAAGAACGCAGC